CACUUCACUUUCACUAUAUACAGGUUCUAAAAGCUUUGAUUAAUAAUUCUAGAAUAUAUCGAGCGUAUCUCAUAGAAGAACUUUUUGAUAGAAAUUAGAUAUAAAAUGUUAUUUUUUUAUUUUUUGUUAUUUUUUUAAUGAUAAAAAUAUCGUUAAGUUAUUUGAGAACAAUUUUAUAAAUUUGAACUUAAUAAAGGCUAAGUAAAUUAUUUAAUCUUUGUAUCAUAACCAAUCGAACGACUAACUUCAAGAUACCAGCAGUAUCACGAGAAAAAAGUAAUAAUUACCGAGGACAAUCGUCACUAAG